rnacentral:rRNA from 1 species
CUCGGAGUUUGAUCCUGGCUCAGGAUGAACGCUAGCGGCAGGCUUAACACAUGCAAGUCGAGGGGUAUAGUUCUUCGGAGCUAGAGACCGGCGCACGGGUGCGUAACGCGUAUGCAAUCUACCUUUUACAGAGGGAUAGCCCAGAGAAAUUUGGAUUAAUACCUCAUAGUAUAGCGACAUCGCAUGAUGAUGCUAUUAAAGUCACAACGGCAAAAGAUGAGCAUGCGUCCCAUUAGCUAGUUGGUAAGGUAACGGCUUACCAAGGCAACGAUGGGUA